AGCCUGGUGAAGCUGGAGUUAUCUGGGUCCGUUGGAAUCUCACAGGGAGCGAACAGCCACCUCCACUCAGACCCCGCCCCCGGCCCAUUCACUCGGAAUCUCUGGGGCGGAGCUUUCUACCGGCUCCCUGGGCUGAGCCCGCCCGUCUGCUGGCGGGAAGCCAGAGGUCCGGGCUGAGGGCCCUGUGCCACAGGCUCUCAGCACGAUGCCUUCCUGCGCGAGCCCAAACUUGUGUGCCUCAGCUUCCUUGUCGGCUUCGAGGGGAUAAAGAUGCCUGUCCUGGGCUGCCCUGGGGUUGGGGGUGGUGCCCCUGCAUCCCCAAGUGGACGGUGAGCGAGAGGGCAGGAGCCACAGCUUCCUCGGUGCUGCGUGCAGAAGGGGAAGGGCCGUCCGUGGGAACCGGGACCCAGGCGGAAAGGAAGGCCAGGUGUCUCCACUUAUCAUAAGAGUCUCCAGCGUACAGUUCUCGGUACAGUUCUCCAGAUCCCCAGACCUAGACUUGUAGUCCUGGAAGGAAGGUUUGACCAUCCCCCACUUGGGAUUCCCAAACACCAGGCUGGGGACUGGGGCCAGCCUGUGACAAGCAAAGACCUGUCAGAGGCAAAAUGAAACCAGUGAGCACAAGGCAAAGAGCUGGGAUCCUCAGGAAAAGCCCUAACCUCUCGGCUCCUGCGUUUUCGUGCCCUUGGGAUGGAGACAGUGACCCCAGUGCUCAGGAGCUGCACGGGUGUGCCAACGUGCCAUGUUCUUCACAUUGCACACUUACAAUCUGUGCAGUUUUCUAGUGUCCAUGCUACAAUUCAAUAAAACCGUUUAUUAAAAAUUAACAGCUAAGUUAAGGCUCCAUUAGCACAGAGGCUUCCCAAAGAAAAGCUGACACGCUUUAUCUUGCUUGGAAAUGUUAUCUGUUGUUGUCAUUACCUCCAACUUUUAAAGGGGAACAGUAAUUUAUUAUUUGUUGCCUGCAUGCAGCUGGCAGAACCCACCACUAAGGGAUAAAAAGAUCUUCAGCUAAGCUCACACUUAGGGCAGUUUAAUGAGGUCUUAUUCUUCAAAAUUAACCUUCAAACCCAUUACAUUCCAG
ensembl:lncRNA